UCUCCGUAGGUGAACCUGCGGAGGGAUCAUUAUUGAAUGGGCCCCUCGGGCCCUUCUACCCCUAAAACCUGUGGAAGCUAUCUGUGCUUCGGCGCCCUUCUGGCGCCGCCUUUAUGCUGGAAUCUGCUUUGUGUCUGAAUAUUAAACGGAAUUGAAAACUUUCAACAAAGGAUCUCUUGGCUCUC
rnacentral:misc_RNA from 1 species